rnacentral:ncRNA from 1 species
AACUGGUUGAGUUGUACCUGGACAGAAAUAAUAGUAUACAGGUAUCUUAGAAUUCAUCUCAAGCAUUAACUGGUUGAGUUGUACCUGAAAUAAUAGUAUACAGGUAUCUUAGAAUUCAUCUCGACCAUUAACUGAUUGAGUUGUACCUGCACAUAAAGAAUGGUAUACAGGUAAAAAGAUUGGAGUGUUCAAAGCAGGCCUCACGCCUGAACAGCAGAGAAUGGAAUAAUGGAAUAGGACCUCGGUGGUAUCGCGUCGGUUUUCGAAACUCAAGUUAAUGAUUAAGGGGGACUGACGGGGGCAUUCAUAUUGCGGUGUGACAGGUGAAAUUCUUGGAUCGCCGCAAGACGACCGACUGCGAAAGCAUUUGCCAAGAAUGUUUUCAUUAAUCAAGAACGAAAGUUAGAGAUUCGAAGGUGAUCAGACACCGCCCUAGUUCUAACCAUAAACGAG